UCCAUGGAAAUGAGAAUCUGCUGUAGGUCCCUGGUUUCAAGUGGUGAAUAGAUUUUGGAGUGAAAAUACUGUCUAGCACCAUUUGAAAUCAGUGCAUCUUUUAGUGGAAUGACAAAGCAUGGAUU
rnacentral:pre_miRNA from 10 species